UACGUAGGGUGCAAGCGUUGUCCGGAAUUAUUGGGCGUAAAGAGCUCGUAGGCGGUUUGUCGCGUCUGCUGUGAAAACCCGAGGCUCAACCUCGGGCCUGCAGUGGGUACGGGCAGACUAGAGUGCGGUAGGGGAGAUUGGAAUUCCUGGUGUAGCGGUGGAAUGCGCAGAUAUCAGGAGGAACACCAAUGGCGAAGGCAGAUCUCUGGGCCGUAACGGACGCUGAGGAGCGAAAGCAUGGGGAGCGAACAGG
rnacentral:rRNA from 1 species